GGCAGGGUGCUGUGGGCAGGGUGCUGUGGGGUGGGUGCUGUGGGGUGGGUGUUGUGGGUGGGUGCUGUGGGUGGGCGCUAUGGGGUGGGUGCAUUGCAGGUACUGUUGUGGGGCGGGCUGUGGGUGGGUGCUGUGGGGCAGGUGGUCAGCGCUAUGGGGCACGUGGCAGCGCUAUGGGGCACACGAUGCUGUGGGGCACGAUGUUGGCACCGUGGGUGCUAUGGGGUGGGUGCCGUGGGGCACGGUGCUGUGGGGCACAUGGGCGGUGCUGUGGGGUGUGAUGCUGUGGGGCGCAUGGACAGCGCUAUGGGGCACUUGGUGCUGUGGGGCUCAAGGAUGGCAGUGUGGGGUGGGUGCUGUGGGGCAGGUGCUCAGCGCUAUGGGGCACAAGAACAGCGCUAUGGGUCACAUGGACAGCGCUAUGGGGCACCUGGUGCCGUGGGGCACAGCGCUAUGGGGCACGUGGACGGUACUGUGGGGUGUGGGGUGCUGUGCUGUGGGGCACAUGGACAGCGCUGUGGGGCACGUGAAGCUGUGGGGCACGCGGUGCUAUGGGGUGGAAGGAUGUUGUGGGGCACGGAGGUGACGCUGUGGGGCACAGGGCUGGCGCUGUGGGGCAGAAGGAUGGCGCUGUGGGGCACAGAGU
rnacentral:lncRNA from 1 species